UACGGAGGGAGCUAGCGUUAUUCGGAAUUACUGGGCGUAAAGCGCACGUAGGCGGCUUUGUAAGUAAGAGGUGAAAGCCCGGAGCUCAACUCCGGAACUGCCUUUUAGACUGCAUCGCUUGAAUCCAGGAGAGGUGAGUGGAAUUCCGAGUGUAGAGGUGAAAUUCGUAGAUAUUCGGAAGAACACCAGUGGCGAAGGCGGCUCACUGGACUGGUAUUGACGCUGAGGUGCGAAAAGCGUGGGGGAGCAAACAGG
rnacentral:rRNA from 1 species